rnacentral:lncRNA from 1 species
AUGGACGUGCAAAGCUUUGAUCGAAUGGAGAAGCACUGCAUUCCUAUCAUCAUCUCUGAGGUUUUCUUGAAACAAAAACAGAAACAGAUGGGAUGUGUGGCCUUGUGGUUGUGGACAAACAAAAUAGCUUGAGUCUUCGGAAGCCUUUUUCUUCUCCAUUUGGUUUGAAAAGAGGGACGUUCAACAACUAUAUAUUAUUUAUAUAUUUCAGGGAAUAUAAUGCAAGACUUUUAUGUGCGCCCGCCAUGAGAUCAUGUGGAUUGCAGAAUACUGUUGUUCGUCCCUGGAGGGUAGUAGCUAGUCUUUAG